GGUUCAGUGGUGUAGUUGGUUAUCACGUCUGUCUCACAGGAAGCGCACAGGAGGUCUCCGGUUCGAGCCCGGACUGAACCA